rnacentral:rRNA from 1 species
UGGGGAAUAUUGCGCUAAUGCGCGAAAGCGUGACGCAGCGACGCCGCGUGGGGGAUGAAGGCCCUCGGGUCGUAAACCCCUUUCGGCAGGGACGAAGCGAGAGUGACGGUACCUGCAGAAGAAGUCCCGGCUAACUACGUGCCAGCAGCCGCGGUAACACGUAGGGGACGAGCGUUGUCCGGAUUCAUUGGGCGUAAAGCGCGCGUAGGCGGCCCGGAAAGUCGGUUGUGAAAUCCCGGGGCUCAACCCCGGGACCGCGUCCGAAACUUCCGAGCUCGAGGCAGGUAGGGGAGAUCGGAAUUCCUGGUGUAGCGGUGAAAUGCGCAGAUAUCAGGAGGAACACCGGUGGCGAAGGCGGAUCUCUGGGCCUUGCCUGACGCUGAGGCGCGAAAGCUAGGGGAGCGAACAGG